rnacentral:rRNA from 1 species
AUGGCUACCUGGCAUGAGCUUGUGGAGAUAGCCAGUUCCAUAAGUUUUGUAGAGGAGGAAGACACCCCUGUUUGGAAUCUAAAUUCUAAAGGGAUAUAUACUGUCAAAUCCUUCUACAAGUUAAAAAAUUUUAGAGGGGUCUUACCUACUUCCACCCCUGCUGUGUGGAAUAUAAAAAUCCCCCCCAGGAUUCAGAUUUUUCUCUGGCUGUUGGUUAAUAACAAACUCUUAACCAGAGAUAAUUUGAGUAAGAGACAGGAGGUGAGUGAUCCCACCUGUGUGUUUUGCUCUGAUCAAGAGUCUUGUUAG